rnacentral:rRNA from 1 species
GAUGAACGCUAGCGGAGGCCUAACACAUGCAAGCCGAGCGGUAUUGUUCUCGGAAAUGAGAGAGCGGCGUACGGGUGCGGAACACGUGUGCAACCUGCCUUUAUCUGGGGGAUAGCCUUUCGAAAGGAAGAUUAAUACUCCAUAACAUAUUGAACGGCAUGGUUUAUGGAUUAAAGCUACGGCGCUUAAAGAUGGUCGUGCGUCUGAUUAGCUAGUUGGUAGGGUAACGGCCUACCAAGGCUACGAUCAGUAGGGGGCGUGAGAGCGUGGCCCCCCACACGGGUACUGAGACACGGACCCGACUCCUACGGGAGGCAGCAGUAAGGAAUAUUGGGCAAUGGACGGAAGUCUGACCCAGCCAUCCCGCGUGCAGGACGAAUGCCCUAUGGGUUGUAAACUGCUUUUGUUUGGGAAGAAAUGUAUUCUUUUAAGAGUAUUUGACGGUACCAGACGAAUAAGCACCGGCUAACUCCGUG